rnacentral:piRNA from 1 species
UGGCAAUGCGGAUCUUAGCUACCGGAA